GAGUUUUUGGAGUUGCUCUUUCACUUCCAUGGAACACUACGAAAACUGCAGCUCCAAGAGCCUGAGUAUGUGCUCUUGGCUGCCAUGGCCCUCUUCUCUCCUGCUCCCUAUCUUACAGACCGACCUGGAGUUACCCAGAGAGAUGAGAUUGAUCAGCUGCAAGAGGAGAUGGCACUGACUCUGCAAAGCUACAUCAAGGGCCAGCAGCGAAGGCCCCGGGAUCGGUUUCUGUAUGCGAAGUUGCUAGGCCUGCUAGCUGAGCUCCGGAGCAUUAAUGAGGCCUACGGGUACCAAAUCCAGCACAUCCAGGGCCUGUCUGCCAUGAUGCCGCUGCUCCAGGAGAUCUGCAGCUGAGGCCAGGCUCACUUCCUUCCCCAGCUCACCUGGGACACCCUGGAUACACUGGAGUGGGAAAAUGCUGGGACCAAAGAUUGGGCCGGGUUCAAAGGGAGCCCAGUGGUUGCAAUGAAAGACUAAAGC
rnacentral:sRNA from 1 species